rnacentral:rRNA from 1 species
UAUCGCGCGAUCGCCUUGAGUUGAUCAUGGCUCAGAAUCAACGCUGGCGGCGUGCCUAACACAUGCAAGUCGAACGCGAAAGCCCCGCAAGGGGUAAGUAGAGUGGCAAACGGGUGAGUAACACGUGGGUGACCUGCCUUCGAGUGGGGGAUAACGUCCCGAAAGGGACGCUAAUACCGCAUGACAUCCUGCUUUUGGAAAAGCGGAGAUCAAAGCUGGGGAUCGUAAGACCUGGCGCUUGAAGAGGGGCCCGCGCCUGAUUAGCUAGUUGGUAGGGUAACGGCCUACCAAGGCAACGAUCAGUAUCCGGCCUGAGAGGGCGGACGGACACACUGGGACUGAGACACGGCCCAGACUCCUACGGGAGGCAGCAGUGGGGAAUUGUUCGCAAUGGGCGCAAGCCUGACGACGCAACGCCGCGUGGAGGACGAAGAUCUUCGGGUCGUAAACUCCUGUCGAGUGGGAAGAAUGCUUCGGGGGUGAAUAGCCUCCGGAAUUGACGGUACCACUAAAGGAAGCCCCGGCUAACUCCGUGCCAGCAGCCGCGGUAAUACGGGGGGGGCAAGCGUUGUUCGGAAUUACUGGGCGUAAAGGGCUCGUAGGCGGCCAACUAAGUCGGAUGUGAAAUCCCCAGGCUUAACCUGGGAACUGCAUCCGAUACUGGAUGGCUUGAAUUCGGGAGAGGGAUGCAGAAUUCCAGGUGUAGCGGUGAAAUGCGUAGAUAUCUGGAGGAAUACCGGUGGCGAAGGCGGCAUCCUGGACCGACAUUGACGCUGAGGAGCGAAAGCUA